CACAAAAUUCCGGUGUCCCUCAGCCCAGAUUGUGAGAGGGUGCAGGCCAGGCUGAGGGAUCCCACCAGUGCACG
rnacentral:pre_miRNA from 1 species